GAUGAACGCUGACAGAAUGCUUAACACAUGCAAGUCUACUUGAUCCUUCGGGUGAUGGUGGCGGACGGGUGAGUAACGCGUAAAGAACUUGCCCUGCAGUCUGGGACAACAUUUGGAAACGAAUGCUAAUACCGGAUAUUAUGCGAGAUUCGCAUGUUUCUCGUAUGAAAGCUAUAUGCGCUGCAGGAGAGCUUUGCGUCCUAUUAGCUAGUUGGUGAGGUAACGGCUCACCAAGGCGAUGAUAGGUAGCCGGCCUGAGAGGGUGAACGGCCACAAGGGGACUGAGACACGGCCCUUACUCCUACGGGAGGCAGCAGUGGGGAAUAUUGGACAAUGGACCAAAAGUCUGAUCCAGCAAUUCUGUGUGCACGAUGAAGUUUUUCGGAAUGUAAAGUGCUUUCAGUUGGGACGAAGUAAGUGACGGUACCAACAGAAGAAGCGACGGCUAAAUACGUGCCAGCAGCCGCGGUAAUACGUAUGUCGCAAGCGUUAUCCGGAUUUAUUGGGCGUAAAGCGCGUCUAGGCGGUUUGGUAAGUCUGAUGUGAAAAUGCGGGGCUCAACUCCGUAUUGCGUUGGAAACUGUCAAACUAGAGUACUGGAGAGGUGGGCGGAACUACAAGUGUAGAGGUGAAAUUCGUAGAUAUUUGUAGGAAUGCCGAUGGGGAAGCCAGCCCACUGGACAGAUACUGACGCUAAAGCGCGAAAGCGUGGGUAGCAAACAGGAUUAGAUACCCUGGUAGUCCACGCCGUAAACGAUGAUUACUAGGGUGUUGGGGGUCGAACCUCAGCGCCCAAGCUAACGCGAUAAGUAAUCCGCCUGGGGAGUACGUACGCAAGUAUGAAACUCAAAGGAAUUGACAGGGACCCGCACAAGCGGUGGAGCAUGUGGUUUAAUUCGACGCAACGCGAGGAACCUUACCAGCGUUUGACAUCCUAGGAAGUUGGCAGAGAUGCCUUCGUGCCCCUUCGGGGGAACCUAGUGACAGGUGGUGCAUGGCUGUCGUCAGCUCGUGUCGUGAGAUGUUGGGUUAAGUCCCGCAACGAGCGCAACCCCUUUCGUAUGUCGCCAUCAUUAAGUUGGGAACUCAUGCGAUACUGCCUGCGAUGAGCAGGAGGAAGGUGGGGAUGACGUCAAGUCAUCAUGCCCCUUAUACGCUGGGCUACACACGUGCUACAAUGGGUAGUACAGAGAGUCGCUAACCUGCGAGGCGGAGCUAAUCUCAGAAAACUAUUCUCAGUUCGGAUUGUACUCUGCAACUCGAGUACAUGAAGUUGGAAUCGCUAGUAAUCGCAAAUCAGCUAUGUUGCGGUGAAUACGUUCUCGGGUCU
rnacentral:rRNA from 1 species